UACGGAGGGUGCAAGCGUUAUCCGGAUUCACUGGGUUUAAAGGGUGCGUAGGUGGGCAGGUAAGUCAGUGGUGAAAUCUCCGGGCUUAACCCGGAAACUGCCAUUGAUACUAUUUGUCUUGAAUACUGUGGAGGUCGGCGGAAUAUGUCAUGUAGCGGUGAAAUGCUUAGAUAUGACAUAGAACACCAAUUGCGAAGGCAGCUCACUACACGAAUAUUGACACUGAGGCACGAAAGCGUGGGGAUCAAACAGG
rnacentral:rRNA from 1 species